AACGCACAUUGCGCCUCUCUUAACCGUGAGGCAUGCCUGUUCGAGCGUCGUUUAAAUCCAUAGGCUCCACUUGUGGGUCUGUACUGGGCCUCGCCAGAUGGCGUCGCUUGAAAGAGAUUUGGUCUACUGAGCGGAUGAGUUCCAUUAGGACCGGCCGCCUCUGGACCCUAAACAUUCUUCCGACUCGACCUCGGAUCAGGUAGGACUACCGCCUGAACUUAA
rnacentral:misc_RNA from 1 species